ensembl:lncRNA
CAGGGAAGGGACCUGGUUCCCAUUUACCGCUCCUCCUCCCCUCUGGGGGGCCCCAGACCUGGGGGUAGAGGGUAGGGGCGGGCGGAGCAAGCUGGGCAGGGGUCGAGGUGUUCAUUGUUAAGUGUGCAGACCGCUGUCCGAGCGGUCAGUUUCCUCCGGAAUAGUAGAAGGUCAAAGAGUUGGAACAUAAAGUGGGGCAUAAUCUAAAUCCAGAAAAGCCCAGCAUCCCUACAGACACCCCGGAGUGAGGGGGUGGAGAGGGACUCGGGAGAGCAGUCAGCUCCACCUGCUCCUGGUUUGGUCCCGAGCCAUUGAGUCAGCCGGCCCUAGGAACCUCCCGAGAGCGCCCUUCAUAGCUGGAGGCUCAGAGGCCGUCCCGGGGCCCAGCGCCGCCGCCUCCGCCUGGUCCAGCUGUGAUUAGCCUCCGAGCCUCCCCGAACCUCCCCUCGCGCACCCAGCGGCUCAGCGCAGCCACAGCUGCAGCAGGUGGGGGGCCCCCUGGGCCAGCUGACAGACAGCGGAGGCGGAGGCGGGGCCUGAGCCCGGGGCGGAGCCGCGAGGAGAACGGGCCCGGCGCAGGGGGGAGGUGAAGGGGGAGGAGGAGAAAAAGGAGGAGGAGGAGGAGGAGGAGGAGGAGAGAGCAACAGAAGGGAAAGGCUGGCUCCCACACGAACUGAGCGAGCUCUGGCUCUCUAGGCACAGAGUCCAAGCUCCAGGGCUUGCCCAAGCGAUAGAGCGUCUCCGAGGGUCAGCGGUUGAGGCUGGGCGAGCGGCAGCCGGUGAGGCUGGGGCGCAGACAAAGGCGCCGCCGCCGCCGCCGCCGCCGCCGCCGCUGGCUCGCAAGCUUUCCUGCGGGAGCGAACCUGGGCAGCGAUCGAGGACUCUCCGGCUGUCUAUCGGAUCUCUCUACUCUUCUCAAGUGAUGGGAAUGAUGUUUUUAACAUUGGGAUGCAUUCAGAGAAAAUGGCCCUGAUCUUUUCCAAACUCAUCAUCUCUUAAAUUUAAUCUCCAUCAAGGAACCGAGCAGUGACUUCUUGGAGGUAGAGAACCCAAAGACAAAGAACAAGAGACAGAAGAUUGAAAAACAGAGGGGGCUGGUCAGUCCACUGAGUGACUCUACAGCUCCUAAACUGCCACAAGGCUUCAGUGAUGUCUGCUCAAGCUGACCACCAAGGAGGCAAGCCUAAGAGAAAGGAGUGGACUCUGGGACAAAGAUCCCAGCCAAAGAGUUGGGUGUUCCUGUGGCAUUGCCCAGCCUAGGAAUCACAGACUGUGCAACUUCUUUGUUUGGACUGGCAACAGCAAGCAUACGUUGCACUUUCGCUGAGGCCUGAUCAUUUGCUGAAUAUUUAUUUGUCCCAACAAUUAUUUAGUUAUCCUCAGGAAUCUGGGGUCCGAGGCCAACUUCUCCUUUUUUUGUAUUAUUUCUUGGUAGGGGAGUAUGACCCUUCAUCUCCCUUUGUGCUCAGAGCUUAGUAGAGUCAUCACCAUUAAGUUAGACUCAAAGAAACAUAGAAGACUGAAGAGAUCAUCUCAUCUAAUGGCGUUGUAUUAUCGUUUUGCUGUUAUUAAAGUGUUCCAGUUGUGUCUGAUUCUUGUGACCCCAUUUGGGGUUUUUUUGGCAAAGGUACUGGAGUGAUUUUCCAUUUCCUUCUCCAGCUUAUUUUGCAGAUAGGAAACUGAGGCAAAAGGAUUCAGUGACUUGCUGAAGUCACAGAGUUAGAAAGAUGUCUGGGGCCAUUUUUAAACUCAGGAAGAUGAAUCUUCCUCAUUCCAGAUUCAGUGCCUAUCUGUUGAAUGUGGGAUCUGGGUUUAUUGUUGUUUAGUCAGUUUUUUUUUUCUGUUCUGUCCAACUAUUCAUGACUUUUUUUUUUGGGGGGGGGUUCCUUGGCAAAGAUGCUAGAGUGGUUUACCAUUUUCUUCUCCAGCUCAUUUUACAGGGGAGGAAACUGAGGCAAACUGGGAUAAGUGACUUGCUGAGGGUCACACAACUAAGUGUCUGAGGCCAGAUUUAAACUCUGGAAGAUGUCUUCCUCACUCCAGGUCCAAUACUAUCUACUGUAUCAUCUAGCUGCUCUGUGUUACAGAUGAGGAAAUUGAAGCUCGGAUUGGUAGAGGGAUUUGUCUAUUGUUUUAGAAUUGUAGAGAUGCAGAGUCGGAAGGGAUUUCAGAAGCUGUCUAGUCUCUUUGAGUUCUAAUCAAGAAGUUCCUGUGCCCUGCCCCUGAAAAAUGGAUAGCCUUUACUUGAUGAGCUACAAUGAGAGGCUUUGCACUCUGCAGCAGACCAGUCCAUCUUGGGACAGCUCUAAUUGUUGCUGAAGUUUUCCAUGUAUCAAGUUUAAAUGUGGCUUUUGCCACUGCUACUCAUUGCUCCGAGUCCUGCCUUCUGGGAUCCGACAGAACACAUUUAGCCUUUCUUCCACACGACAGCCCAUCACAAAUGUGAAGGCUGCUAUCAUGUUCCUCCUGAGUCUUCUCUUCUCCAGGCUAAAUGUUCCCAACAUGUUCCAUUGCCCGCCCCCAUGACCUGGACUCACAGUCCUUUACCACUUGGCUGCAUAUCCAGAAAAAUCCCUGAUCCAGCAUUUGUCAUUAUUGAUCAUUCCUUACAAUAAAUGGCUUAGAGAGGUAUAUUAUAUUUUUAAG